GACGAACGCUGGCGGCGCGCCUAACACAUGCAAGUCGAACGAGCGAGCGAGAGCUUGCUUUCUCAAGCGAGUGGCGAACGGGUGAGUAACGCGUGAGGAACCUGCCUCAAAGAGGGGGACAACAGUUGGAAACGACUGCUAAUACCGCAUAAGCCCACAGGUCGGCAUCGACCAGAGGGAAAAGGAGCAAUCCGCUUUGAGAUGGCCUCGCGUCCGAUUAGCUAGUUGGUGGGGUAACGGCCCACCAAGGCAACGAUCGGUAGCCGGACGGAGAGGUUGAACCGCCCCAUUGGGACGGGGACACGGCCCAAACCCCCAAGGGGGGCGGGAGGGGGGAAGAGUCCACAAGGGGGGAAACCCUAAGGCCGCGGCGCCGGGGGGAGGAAGAAGGUUUUCGGAUUGAAAACUCCUGUUUUUGAGGAAGAUAAGGCCGGAACUAAACAAGAAAGUACCGCCAAAUUAGGG
rnacentral:rRNA from 1 species